GUCUCCAAACGGCACAUUCGUACACCUGCAACAAUUUCCCCCUUUCACUGUUGUCUCGAAAAGGGCAUUGCAAUUCAAAAAUCUAGCCGUUUCCCCCCUCAGAAAUCAGUCUAUUUAAGGAGAGGAGGACUAAGGCAUUUUGGAGCACAAUUAUUACUUACUAACUAAAACUUUCCGGAGAUUUGGCUGGCCGGAAAAAGCUCUUCUUUUUUUUCAGUUCAGCAAUUUCCGCAACUGAUGUGAUUGCUGAGAUAAAUCCAAAGUGGACGCAAAGCAAGCACUUUGGAGUCCCAGGUGAACGAAAAUUUCUUCAAACUAGUGAAUUCAAGCCGAGCCCCAUUGCAUGUGAUAAACACAUCUUCCGCAACGUACUUGCUGAGAUAACAAAUAUGUCAAUUAACAAUUCUUUAAUGUAAAAUCUUUACUCAAAUG